AGAACGAACGCUGGCGGCAGGCCUCAAACAUGCAAGUCUAGGGGGUGUAGCAAUACAUCACCGGCGGACGGGUGCGUAACACGUGGGAAUAUACCUUUUGGUUCGGAACAACGCAGGGAAACUUGCGCUAAUACCGAAUGUGCCCUUACGGGGAAAGAUUUAUCGCCAAAGGAUUAGCCCGCGUAGGAUUAGCUAGUUGGUGAGGUAAUGGCUCACCAAGGCUCCGAUCCUUAGCUGUUCUGAGAGGAAGAUCAGCCACACUGGGACUGAGACACGGCCCAGACUCCUACGGGAGGCAGCAGUUGGGAAUCUUGGACAAUGGGGGAAACCCUGAUCCAGCCAUGCCGCGUGAGUGAUGAAGGCCUUCGGGUUGUAAACCUCUUUCAGCAGGGAGAAGCGAAAGUGACGGUACCUGCAGAAGAAGCACCGGCUAACUACGUGCCAGCAGCCGC
rnacentral:rRNA from 1 species